CUUUACGGCCAUACCAGCCUGGGUACGCCCGAUCUUGUCUGAUCUCGGGAGCUAAGCAGGGUCGGGCCUGGUUAGUACUUGAUGGGAGACCGCCUGGGAAUACCAGGUGCUGUAAGCA
rnacentral:rRNA from 1 species